CUUUUGCGCUUAAUAAUCAAAGUGGAGGAAAUAUAACUACAAGUAUUGAAAGAGAUCUCAACGUAAAGAAAUUCUUCAAUUUUGGCAAUAUAUUAUCAACAAUAUUAUUGCGUUCCAUUGUAAGCUGGAAACAAUCUUAUUUUCGAAUUCGGUUGCUGGGAAUUUGACAUUCAACUCAGUCAUUGACUAAGCAGGAAGUAUAAUAUCCCUAUUUUUUGAAUGUAUUAUGGAUAUAAGAUGGUUUAUCUGCAUGGAAUUUGUAUUCUUUCAUCAAUAUAUCAAUGCUAUGG